rnacentral:rRNA from 1 species
AGAGUUUGAUCCUGGCUCAGAUUGAACGCUGGCGGCAUGCCUUACACAUGCAAGUCGAACGGUAACGCGGGGGCAACCCUGGCGACGAGUGGCGAACGGGUGAGUAAUACAUCGGAACAUAUCCAGUAGCGGGGGAUAACCUAUCGAAAGAUGGACUAAUACCGCAUACGAUCUACGGAUGAAAGCAGGGGACCGUAAGGCCUUGCACUAUUGGAGUGGCCGAUGUCGGAUUAGCUAGUUGGUGGGGUAAAAGCUUACCAAGGCGACGAUCCGUAGCUGGUCUGAGAGGACGAUCAGCCACACUGGAACUGAGACACGGUCCAGACUCCUACGGGAGGCAGCAGUGGGGAAUUUUGGACAAUGGGCGCAAGCCUGAUCCAGCCAUGCCGCGUGAGUGAAGAAGGCCUUCGGGUUGUAAAGCUCUUUCGGUGAAGACGAAACGGUUCAUGCUAAUAACGUGAACUAAUGACGGUACUCACAGAAGAAGCACCGGCUAACUACGUGCCAGCAGCCGCGGUAAUACGUAGGGUGCAGGCGUUAAUCGGAAUUACUGGGCGUAAAGCGUGCGCAGGCGGUUUGCUAAGACAGGUGUGAAAUCCCCGGGCUUAACCUGGGAAUUGCGCUUGUAACUGGCAAGCUAGAGUGUGGCAGAGGGGGGUGGAAUUCCACGUGUAGCAGUGAAAUGCGUAGAUAUGUGGAGGAACACCGAUGGCGAAGGCAGCCCCCUGGGUUAACACUGACGCUCAUGCACGAAAGCGUGGGGAGCAAACAGGAUUAGAUACCCUGGUAGUACACGCCCUAAACUAUGUCAACUAGUUGUCGGGGAAGAAAUUCCUCGGUAACGAAGCUAACGCGUGAAGUUGACCGCCUGGGGAGUACGGCCGCAAGGUUAAAACUCAAAGGAAUUGACGGGGACCCGCACAAGCGGUGGAUUAUGUGGAUUAAUUCGAUGCAACGCGAAAAACCUUACCUACCCUUGACAUGCUAGGAAGCCCGCAGAGAUGUGGGUGUGCCCGAAAGGGAACCUAGACACAGGUGCUGCAUGGCUGUCGUCAGCUCGUGUCGUGAGAUGUUGGGUUAAGUCCCCAACGAGCGCAACCCUUGCCAUUAGUUGCUACAUUCAGUUGGGCACUCUAAUGGGACCGCCGGUGACAAACCGGAGGAAGGUGGGGAUGACGUCAAGUCCUCAUGGCCCUUAUGGGUAGGGCUUCACACGUAAUACAAUGGUCGGUACAGAGGGCUGCCAACCCGCAAGGGGGAGCUAAUCCCAGAAAGCCGAUCGUAGUCCGGAUUGUAGUCUGCAACUCGACUGCAUGAAGCCGGAAUCGCUAGUAAUCGCGGAUCAGCAUGUCGCGGUGAAUACGUUCCCGGGUCUUGUACACACCGCCCGUCACACCAUGGGAGUGGGUUCCACCAGAAGUAGUUAGCCUAACCGCAAGGAGGGCGACUACCACGGUGAGAUUCAUGACUGGGGUGAAGUCGUAACAAGGUA